GGACAUGGUAAUGCCGGUGAUUUAUACGUCACGCUGCCUCUUCUAUUAUCCCAUUCCACUCUCCCUUCUCAACUUCUCUUCUUGUCGUCUUCAACCUUCCUUUCUCUAGUCCUUUCUCUUCCCAGAAUGUCUUACGAUUACCUCUUCAAGUACAUAAUCAUUGGAGACACCGGUGUAGGGAAAUCAUGCCUGCUCUUGCAAUUCACGGAUAAGAGGUUCCAGCCUGUGCAUGAUCUCACUAUCGGUGUUGAGUUCGGCGCUCGCAUGGUUACCAUCGAUGGCCGACCCAUCAAGCUUCAGAUUUGGGACACUGUAUGUUGCCCUCUAUUUUCUCUUACCUUUCCUUUUUCCAAUUUUCUCCGCACUUUUAUUUUAUUUCUUUAUAAUUAUUAAUUCUAUCGCUUGUGGCUUGUGCUUCUAUUUUCAUUUGUUUUAAUUCAUUUAUGCUUGUUUCUGCUACAAGUUAGGAAUUAUUUGGAAGCAGAAAAUUCUUUUUAGAACUAAUGGUCAGUGAACUUGGUCACUAAAUUCUAAUUAGGUCACUAAUGGCAAAAUUUUUAGGGGAUAUUAGACAAAUAUUUUAUGUGUUGAGUGUUGACUAAGAAAUAUCCUGUUUUUAAUUAUAAAACUAUAUUGGAAAAUUCUGUACUUAUCAUAUCAAAAAUUUGGAUUAAUUUUUAUUCUGUCAAAAUCUAGCAACAUCGAAUUCAGUGAAACAAAUUAAAGUUCAGUAAUUUUGUCAACAAAAAUUGACCUUGAAAUAAGAAUUUAAGCCUGCCAGCUUCCAUUUUGCUUUAACUGUUUCCCCUUAAUUUUAGGAAGUUGUUAUAAGGGAUCAAUUAUAAUAUUUGUAAAAAUUUAGGAAGCAGUGAUAAAAAGUUAAUUUUUUUUCUUGUUUUUUUAGUUACUCUUAGAGCAUGUUUGGUAGACUAUAGUGAAGCAUAAUGGAAUUUAUUGGAUUAAAUUUUCAGUUCAUUGAUCUAUUGAAUUUUUAUUUGAUUACUCUCAUCUGGAGUCAACCAAACGUGCACUUAAUAUUCAGUGGUUGCUGCCUCUCACGCAUGCAAACUAGAUUUUAGUUCCACUAUAAUAUUGACUAGUAUACAUGAAUCUCCCUCCUUAGAUCCCCAUAAGGGGUCCAUUUUUUGGCUUAUAAUGACUUACACCAUCUCCAUCUCCAUCUCCAUCUUCCUUUUCCAUCAAUAUGGGUUGUUCGGGUUCAAAAUUCGGCUCUGAAGCAGAAUCUGUGCCCGCCAAGCUGAGGCCGCUUCUGCUUCUAAGGUUUGAGGAGAUGAGAAGAUGGAGGCAUGGAGUUUCUUUGAAAGACAACGACUCAGCCACCCUUUCCAAGAAAGAGCUGCUCAAAGAUGAUUUAAUUUCUGACAGCGAUAAUUCCUCUCAUCCUCGUGAUUUUGAUCAUAAGAGCAUUUCUUCGCAAGAGGAUCAUAGUCUCAAGAUAGCACCUGCCCCGGAGUCUGAUGAAACUGCUCCUAAGAAUAAGAUUGACCCUAAUAAGGUUGCAAAAACGGCGCCAUUGCUGCUGAUGUCACCAUAUAAAGAUGUGAAUCACAAGGCCGUGGAAG
rnacentral:misc_RNA from 1 species